CCCACGAACGUGUGGCAUUCUUAUUUUAUUUCUGGUUCUUCUAUUGACCGAAGCAAGAGCAUUGGAGCUUUGGUAGUUUCCUAAUUUCGCUAAAGGCGUCUUUCACGAGCACGACGACUUUAGACGAUUCGCUAGUACGAGGAUGAGUGAUAGUGCAAUAAAAAAAUUGAUUUAUUGUGGAGAAAGAUAUCAACUGUGGCAACGAAGAAAAGCUUGGCGACGAAUUCGACUGGCAACGUGCAGUCGUCGCAAAUCAGCGCGUCAGCACCGAUCGCCCAGUGACCAGAGAAUAUUUCGAGUCUGACCCGCUAUUCGCGUAUCGAGGAAAACCAAGAUCCACAGAAUCCAAUUAAACAGUUAGUUUACUCGUUGAAAAAGUGCGGCAUUUAGAAGCCGAGAGUUGGAAACUUACACGGAAGGUACAGAUAAAUUAUUAACCGCAAAGUAUCUAACAUACAGUCUAAUAUCCAUCUAUAAAUUGUCCUAUAUAAGAAAAUCAUCGGAUGAAAUGACGAAGGUCGCAACGAUAUUAGAUGUUAAUAAAGUCAAAAAUGAUACAUAAUUCGGGUACCAGCAUCAAAGGUGCCGGCGGCGAUCCAGCCCAACAAAAGGAAACAAACGAGUAACCUUCUUCUGAGUUCUGCAACGGUCACGAAAUAAACAAUGUCUUCUCCAACGCCAACUAUGUUUCUUGUUGAUAUACUUCGCGAAAAUCAUGUAAAAACGAUAAAAAUCAAAGUUCAAGAGACAACGAACCUUUCGGUUUUGAGGUGUAAGUGCAAUGACAUUGAGAUAAGUGGUUAGCUCCGGUGCAUCGUCGUUUAUGCAAGACGGAACCAGAGGCUUGGCUACGUGCGUACUCGACAAAGUAAAAAGGGCACGAAAAGAGGUAUCAGAAAGAUGGUGCGCGAGCGAAGGUGAGAGGAUCAGUGUGCGAGAAGGAAGACACGUCGCGUCAGCGAUGAGAUCGGUCGAACGAAACACAAAAAAAUAAGUCCUUCAAUGUCUGGAGCUUGUCUUCAGCAGAUCCCUGUCUUGUUCAAGUUAUAAAUGGCAAUCUCUAUUCGAUAUAUCAUGCUAUGAGUCGGUCCUUUGCCGUCUAAGGUAAGCAUUACGUCUGGCCGCAUGAGCGAUUCAAAGUUUGUUACGCCAAUGCGAUCUUCGCUUGGUCGCGCAGUGCUGGUCGUUUGCCCUGCCCCUUCUACGUGAAUUUCUCUAACCAUUUUAAGAUUUGUUCAUACAACAGAUGGUAUUCGUUAAAGUUAUCGACGUGAUAGAAAUUUUUGUAACGAAAAGAUCUUGUUUCGAGUCUUUGCUUUUUCAGAAAUCGCAUAGAUCGGUAAACGUUGGUAAUCCGGUUGCAUCAUAAGACACCGAAUGAUAUGAAGUUAGUUACAUUUACAGUGUGCGUUGUGGAUCGAGCCUAAUUCGCCCUCCCGCCGUCACAUCAAGUGCUUCCACAUCGUUCGUCUCCUCGUCGACAAAGUAGCAAUGUUGCAUUCCAAUUUAUUCCAUACCAUUCAUCUUCCUCGGAGCUAAACUCUCCAUUUUCCAUUCAAGAUGAUAGUUAGACGAAGAUAUCAAACAUUGGCGUAGCCAGACGGUCGAACGUCGACGAUAUAAAAAUAGUUUCUGGCAAUGUUUAUCAUAUAUCGGUUGAAACCGCGAAUCGAAUGUAAAUAAAAAACGACGAAUAAACAAAGCUUCCUCGU